rnacentral:rRNA from 1 species
UACGUAGGGAGCUAGCGUUGUCCGGAAUCAUUGGGCGUAAAGCGCGCGUAGGCGGCCCGGUAAGUCCGCUGUGAAAGUCAAAGGCUCAACCUUUGAAUGUCAGCGGAUACUGCCGGGCUAGAGUCCGGAAGAGGCGAGUGGAACUCCUGGUGUAGCGGUGGAAUGCGCAGAUAUCAGGAAGAACACCAGUGGCGAAGGCGGCUCACUGGCUCGGUACUGACGCUGAGGUGCGAAAGCGUGGGGAGCAAACAGG